CCGCACGCGUCCUGUCCACCGGGGAACUGAAUCACCCCUCACUGAGUGCCCCGGCUAGACAGGGCUGGAGAGAAACCAACAGAUCUGACUGACGGAUGGAUGGAUACAUACGUAGAUAAUGAGAGAUGACAGAUUAAGUAGGUUCGAGAAAAGAGAUGUCAUACUCUAACCACCUGACGCAAAGAGCUGACUUUUUGGGAAAGACCUUGAUGCUGGGAGAUUGAAGGCGGGAGGAGAAGGGGAUGGAUGACAGAGGAGGAGAUGGUUGGAUGGCAUCACUGACUCGAUGGACAUGAGUUUCAGCAGAGUUCGGGAGAUGGUGAAGGACAGGGAAGCCUGGUGUGCUGCAGUCCAUGGGGUCGCAAAGAGUCGGACACGACUGAGCGACUGAACAAGAACAAUAUUAUUAACCUGCUGAAACAGAAGGAAAUCCAGCCCUGGGAUUUUCAGUGAUCCGACAGGCACCCCUCGGAAAGGCCGACGGGUCCCUGAAGAUGCUGUUGGAUACUGGGCAACUUCAGUGGAACUGGGGGUCCUUGGGAUGCAGAAAUCAGGGAGAUGUCGGUGGCCCAGAGGGGCUGGACAACGAACUGUUGGUGACGAUGGUGACGAAAUGUGACCUGAGCUCUCUGGGACCCAAAGGCUGGAUGGACGUCAC
ensembl:lncRNA